AACGAACGCUGGCGGCAUGCCUAACACAUGCAAGUCGAACGAGACCUUCGGGUCUAGUGGCGCACGGGUGCGUAACGCGUGGGAAUCUGCCCUUGGGUUCGGAACAACAGUUAGAAAUGACUGCUAAUACCGGAUGAUGACGUAAGUCCAAAGAUUUAUCGCCCAAGGAUGAGCCCGCGUAAGAUUAGGUAGUUGGUGAGGUAAAGGCUCACCAAGCCGACGAUCUUUAGCUGGUCUGAGAGGAUGAUCAGCCACACUGGGACUGAGACACGGCCCAGACUCCUACGGGAGGCAGCAGUGGGGAAUAUUGGACAGUGGGCGAAAGCCUGAUCCAGCAAUGCCGCGUGAGUGAUGAAGGCCUUAGGGUUGUAAAGCUCUUUUACCAGGGAUGAUAAUGACAGUACCUGGAGAAUAAGCUCCGGCUAACUCCGUGCCAGCAGCCGCGGUAA
rnacentral:rRNA from 1 species